rnacentral:lncRNA from 1 species
AAAGUGAGAUUUUUCAUGAUAGCUUGAAAGCUUUUGUGAAAAACUUCAAUUUCAAAGUUACCAAGAUGAGUAGUGAAAUUGAGUUGAUUUUUUUUAGUUGUUGAGAAUGGCUGGUGGCUAGAUCGGUGAGUGUUUUGUAGUUGAGGUUGUUAAUUCACUUUGAAGUGAUUAGGCUAGAGAAAAUGGAUAGCCAUUUAAUGGUAAAUUGAAAGCUAGCUAAAAGAUAGCUUUUAGAGUUUAUAGUGUGAAUUAACAUAAUGGUGAUGUUAAUGUAAUGGUAGGUUCCAACGAAGUUCUAUCCUUCCAAUUGGACCAUUAGGGAAUUAAGAGUCCGCUAAAGGCUCAACAAAAUACCGAUAAGUGGACUUAUAUUUCAAACUUGUUUUGGGAAAUGUGAAUGAUUUUAUCCAACUUGUCUUUGAAAAUGUGUGCUAGGGAACAAGUCUUGAUUAAAUGUAUUUGAUAUUGUGAAAUGGAAAAUGUGUAUAAGGAUGAAUCCUUGUGUUUAUUAUUAUGUUGGUAUGUAUGUAUAUACCUUUUGGAUAUGUGCUGUGUAUGGAUGAAUGAUGAUGGCUGAUGAUGUUGAGGUGUGCGAGAAGGGAGUGCACACAUGAUGAUGAUUGAGUGUGCGAGUAGGAAGUGCACACAUGACGAUGAUGGAGUGUGCGAGUAGAGAGUGCACACAUGAUGAUGAUGUAUGCAUAUGUUGAUGUGAGAGUUGUAGAAAGUUCAUAAUAUGGUAUAUGGUUGUAAAUGCAAAAAUGUAAGUAUUUGAUUUGUUGAAAUUUGAAAGUUUACAUGUGUUACAUGUUACUAUUGUUAUUUUAGCAAGAUGGCUUUGUUUUAAGGGAAAGGGAAACUUUUCUUGAUGUUUUGAUUCUCGCUACAACGAGAAACUCUCGAGUUUGGAGGGGUGGUGCUGGUCGGGAAUCUUGCUGUAGCGAGAAUGUUACAGCAGCAAAAAACCUUCUGUUUUGGAUCCUCAUUGUAUUCGGUUGCUGUCCUAUUUCCACUUCCUUGAUACCAUAGUUGAGCAUGGACUUUCAACACUAAGAAAUCAAUAAAUUACAUUUGAAAUGAGGAGGUUUGGUGAGAAACCCUCGGCCAGUUAAGAAACACUCAACUAGAUGAUAAAUUAAGUCAAGUGUCGCUGUAGCAAAAAAAAAACUCAUUCUCGCUGCAGUAAGAAUGCUUUUCCGCUGUAGUGAGGACCCAUCAUUUAUUUGACUUGAUUCGUAUGAAUUCUAUUAAAGUUUUCAUUCUCCAAAUCCUUUGAUGAGCAUGGACUCUUUUAAAUAAGUGAUUUUUUUCAUGUGGGGUUUACAUGAGGAGUUUAAUAAGAACUAAAUAAAUUGCAUUGUUUUGCAAAAAGAAUGCAUCAUGAUUUUGCUAAACAUUCUUUAUGGUAUGCUUGUUCCCUUCCUUGUUCACUCACUAGGUUUAUACUCACCGUUUUCAACUUUAUGUUUUUAGAUCACGAGGCAAUUGGUAACUAAGUCGAAGUGUCUUCGUAUAUUCGACCCUUGGUAGGUGUCUCGAUAUUCAGUAACUGUACAUUUAUCAGAAUCUCUCUAUUGGAAGUCGAGUAUUCUUUUAUUAUGUAUAGACAAACUUAAUGUAAAUUAUUAAGAUAUAUGUUGUAGACAAUGUAUAUAUACUUGUUUGGUAUGCCAGUAUGAGG